rnacentral:rRNA from 1 species
UACGAGGGGUGCAAGCGUUGCUCGGAAUUAUUGGGCGUAAAGGGUAGGUAGGUGGUCUCAUUUGUCAGGGGUGAAAGCCUUGGGCUUAACCCAAGAAGUGCCCUUGAAACGGUGAGACUGGAGUCUUGGAGAGGGUCGUGGAAUUCCCAGUGUAGCGGUGAAAUGCGUAGAGAUUGGGAGGAACACCAGAGGCGAAGGCGGCGACCUGGACAAGCACUGACACUCAACUACGAAAGCGUGGGGAGCAAACAGG